CCUUCGGUAGCUCAGUUGGUAGAGCGGUGGACUGUAGUGUUUGUUAUAGCGUUAGAUAUCCAUAGGUCGCUGGUUCAAAUCCGGCCCGAAGGA
rnacentral:tRNA from 1 species